GACGAACGCUGGCGGCGUGCCUAAUACAUGCAAGUCGAACGCAGUUGCGAACGGGUGAGUAACGCGUAGGUACCUGCCUCAUAGCGGGGGAUAACUAUUGGAACCGAUAGCUAAUACCGCAUACUGUGAGAUGGACCUGCGUUGUAUUAGCUAGUUGGUGAGGUAAAGGCUCACCAAGGCGAAGAUACAUAGCCGACCUGAGAGGGUGGUUGGCCACAACUGGACUGAGACACGGCCCAGACUCCUUAGGGAGGGAGCAGUAGGGAAUCUUCGGCAAUGGACGGAAGUCUGAACGAGCAACGGCGGGGUAGGGAAGAAGGUUUUCGGAUCGGAAAGCUCUGUUGUUAGAGAAGCGGUACCUAACCAGAAAGGGACGGCUAACUACGUGCCAGCAGCCGCGGUAAUAC
rnacentral:rRNA from 1 species